rnacentral:snoRNA from 1 species
AAGAUUAUAUUUUCAGGGAUCAUUUCUAUAGUUUGUCACUAGGGAAGUUUCUCUGAAUGUGAAUUCCACCACAUUGGA